rnacentral:rRNA from 1 species
GGCUCAGGAUGAACGCUAGCGACAGGCCUAACACAUGCAAGUCAGGGGCAGCACAGGAGCAAUCUGAGGUGGCGACCGGCGCACGGGUGAGUAACACGUAUGCAACCUGCCUGUAAGCGGGGAAUAACCCGUUGAAAGACGGACUAAUACCGCAUAAUACUAAAUUACUGCAUGGUAAUUUAUUUAAACAUUUAUGGCUUACAGAUGGGCAUGCGCAUGAUUAGCUAGUUGGAGAGGUAACGGCUCCCCAAGGCAACGAUCAUUAGGGGUUCUGAGAGGAAGGUCCCCCCACACUGGUACUGAGACACGGACCAGACUCCUACGGGAGGCAGCAGUGAGGAAUAUUGGUCAAUGGACGAGAGUCUGAACCAGCCAAGUCGCGUGCAGGAAGAAUUGUCCUAUGGAUUGUAAACUGCUUUUGCAGGGGAAUAAAGUGCAUCACGUGUGAUGUUUUGUAUGUACUCUGCGAAUAAGGAUCGGCUAACUCCGUGCCAGCCGCCGC